UUCAUUCCCCAUUUCCAGCGGCGCGAGCUUGAGGCGUUGAUUCAUGGCGAUUUUUGACUAGAGAUUUCAGUAGCUGAUCUCUCGUGGGCAAGCCGGUGGUUAAGCAUCCGCUCCAACUCCCCUUUCCCAUCCUCUGCUUCCUUGUGCUCAAGCGCGCGCAGAGGGAGAGGCGAAAUCGAUGCCAUGGCGAUCUGGCUGCGUUGUCUUCUCUGCUUCUCUUGACUUCGUGCCACUCCUCAUAUUCCUCGAGUGGAUCUGCGAACCUUGUACCCCCUCCUCAUCCUCCAUCCAUGGUUGGUUUUGAUUUGUUAAUGCUAUAAGAGAGUCAUACAUUAAGGAACUUAGCUUCAUCAUGUUCGAGACAGGCAGGGGAGAGAAAUCUGUCUAAAUCAUACUUAGUAUGUGGUGAUUGCAAAGUUGGGGGUGUUUACCUGUGUUUAGUCAUCUUCGGCAGAGUGGAUCAUCUUCAGGUUUCUGUCCCAGAUCAUGGAGGAAUCGCCCCCUUGGUUGGCGCUUAUUCCCGUUUCCUCUAGCUGUUCCCCCCUCCAUGUUCUUCCCCUCUGCAGUGCAUUUUUGUAGUGGAUAUUACACUGAAAAUAAUAGUGGAGUUAUUAUUGUAAUUUUAUAGCUUUUCAAUGUAAUUUUUAGUGCUCC